GAUGAACGCUGGCGGCGUGCUUAACACAUGCAAGUCGAGCGAUGAAGUUUCCUUCGGGAAACGGAUUAGCGGCGGACGGGUGAGCAACACGUGGGUAGCCUGCCUCAUAGAGUGGAAUAGCCUUCCGAAAGGAAGAUUAAUACCGCAUAACGUUGAAAGAUGGCAUCAUCAUUCAACCAAAGGAGCAAUCCGCUAUGAGAUGGACCCGCGGCGCAUUAGCUAGUUGGUGGGGUAACGGCCUACCAAGGCGACGAUGCGUAGCCGACCUGAGAGGGUGAUCGGCCACAUUGGGACUGAGACACGGCCCAGACUCCUACGGGAGGCAGCAGUGGGGAAUAUUGCACAAUGGGGGAAACCCUGAUGCAGCAACGCCGCGUGAGUGAUGAAGGUUUUCGGAUCGUAAAGCUCUGUCUUUGGGGAAGAUAAUGACGGUACUCAAGGAGGAAGCCACGGCUAACUACGUGCCAGCCGCCGCCGUAA
rnacentral:rRNA from 1 species